ensembl:snoRNA SNORA72 Small nucleolar RNA SNORA72
AUGCCAUCAGUAUAAUUAAUAUUCAGAUGCUAUAUUAGAAACCAUGCAUGUGUCCCCAGAACUAGUUUUUCUCCCUAAGGCUGGUUUUUAGAAUGCUGGUGAUAAAC